GAAUUUUGGACAGUGGGCGAAAGCCUGAUCCAGCAAUGCCGCGUGCAGGAUGAAGGCCUUCGGGUUGUAAACUGCUUUUGUACGGACCGAAUAGCUUUGGGUUAAUACCCUGGAGUCAUGACGGUACCGGAAGAAUCAGCACCGGCUGACUACGUGCCAGCAGCCGCGGUAAUCCGUAGGGGGCAAGCGUUCAUCGGAUGUACUGGGCGUAAAGCGGUCGCAGGCGGUUUUGUAAGACAGAGGUGAAGGCCCCGGGCUCAACCUGGGAACUGCCUUUGUGACUGCAAGGCUAGAGUACGGCAGAGGGGGGUGGAAUUCCGCGUGUAGCAGUGAAAUGCGUAGAUAUGCGGAGGAACACCGAUGGCGAAGGCAACCCCCUGGGCCUGUACUGACGCUCAUGCACGAAAGCGUGGGGAGCAAACA
rnacentral:rRNA from 1 species